GUUUUGACAGAAACUGACAUCAUUUCCAUACGGACUGAGAGCAGGGCAGCUGCCAAGUUCCGUUUCAGACCUUCUGAUUUUGUAUUGUGACCUUCGUAAGACUCUCCUGCUGGGUGACAGCCACCUGCAAGAAGAAGUGAAAUAAUCCCAACCACCACUCUCUAUGUCCGAAGUGCUUUUGGAGUCACUGAAAAGAGUUGAUUAGCGGCAGCAAUGACAGUGCCAGACAAAUUUAACCUUCCCGGCAUCAAUGGGACAGAUGACACGAAAAUAGACCGAACUGCAUGCAACAUGGGGAAGUGGGGCAAGAUAAGGGAUUGGGCCGUCCUUGGCGCUUUCAGCUUUCUCCCGUGGGACACUUAGCGGUUUAAAAUAAUUCGCAGUGUCACCCUUCAUCCUCGGAUGGAUGUAUCAGCAUUUUUUUUCCCCCAUAAGUGGACGCACAGAUGAAGCCUUCUGCACAAUUAGCAAAACCGGUCACAUCGUGAACAUCGCAGCAAACAAUAAAAAAGCUCAAGAAUUUCCUCCCUUGCCCCGGCAUCCUCCCACCAGCCAGCCUCAAAAUACUGCUUGUAAGGCAUAACAUCCACUUCAAUCAUGUUAGCUGCUAAUCAUUAAUUGCUUCAGAAAAAGACAAUAUUUUACCCAUCCUCUUUGGAGUUCGAGUGUGAAUGGGGAAGCGAAAGAGAGGGAAAGUGAGUGAAACAUGAAAAGCUUGAUUUGUUAGGACCCCUGCUGUCUGAAAGGAGAUCAAAGCUCAGAGGGAGGCUGUAAAACAGCCGAACGCCCAGGACUGAAACAUGGCCCGUGGCAGCUGCUCCGGGCGCAGGCUCGCAACCCAGGUGUGCCCCGACUCCACUCUGCCAGCUGAAUCCUGAGAGCGGGCUACUGCGCUGUUCCUUCAUUAUUUCAGAGGCAGUCACGGAGGAGAUGCCGGCUCCAUCCAUCACAAUGCACAAAUUCGCAGCGCGCGGAUUCAGCACAGGCCUAAUUAAAGCUUUUCCUUUCAUUUGUGGAGAUAAUUAGACUUUCAUCUCACCAGGAAGCUUCAGAAAGAUCUAUUUCUUUCUUCAAU
ensembl:lncRNA